rnacentral:rRNA from 1 species
UUGAACGCUGGCGGCAGGCCUAACACAUGCAAGUCGAGCGGAUGAAGGGAGCUUGCUCCUGGAUUCAGCGGCGGACGGGUGAGUAAUGCCUAGGAAUCUGCCUGGUAGUGGGGGAUAACGUCCGGAAACGGGCGCUAAUACCGCAUACGUCCUGAGGGAGAAAGUGGGGGAUCUUCGGACCUCACGCUAUCAGAUGAGCCUAGGUCGGAUUAGCUAGUUGGUGGGGUAAAGGCCUACCAAGGCGACGAUCCGUAACUGGUCUGAGAGGAUGAUCAGUCACACUGGAACUGAGACACGGUCCAGACUCCUACGGGAGGCAGCAGUGGGGAAUAUUGGACAAUUGGCGAAAGCCUGAUCCAGCCAUGCCGCGUGUGUGAAGAAGGUCUUCGGAUUGUAAAGCACUUUAAGUUGGGAGGAAGGGCAGUAAGUUAAUACCUUGCUGUUUUGACGUUACCAACAGAAUAAGCACCGGCUAACUUCGUG